rnacentral:lncRNA from 1 species
AUAAAAUUCAACCCAAUAUAUUUAAAAUCUUAGAACAAAGCUGAGCAAUGGUUAUGAAACUACUGAUAAUAAAUGGGCUUUCAAUAUUUUUCAUACUUUUACCAGCAGAGCAGUUUGCUUUUAAAUUUCUUUUCUUUUUAUCUGCAUAAAGUAUAAUUAAUUAUACAGAAUUUCAACUCCCAUUGUAGAGAGCUGAAAACCACAUGUAAUUGUUCUUAAUAGGUUGGAUUCUUUCCCUGGUUAGCAGCAUAGAAACUUCUUUCCGGGAAUUACAGAAUUGUCAUGCCGAAUUGAACUGGAUGCAAAUCUGGCCUGAAGUUUUCUUACAAUUGCUGUAAUAAUAUGUACUGUUCAUCUACUCCCCAGGUUGCCAUUAGGAAUAAAAGCAUAUUAUCUCAGUAGGACACUGUUAUCUCUUCGGUUACACAAUCUGCCUACAGAUAGGGCCCAGCUUAUGUGGGAACCUGAAAUAUUGAGACAUGUACAAAUCUCAUGUAAAUAAUGUCUAGGGACAUGUAGCUAAUCAUGAAGUGACUCCCAGUUUUCAUACCAGGUAGUCACUUAGAACAGACAGACCUAAAUGGAGGAAACAUGGUUAAAUUUUGCUGUCGACUUUUAUGUAUAAAAUUUGCAUUAGGGAGUUUCCGUUGUGACUCAGUAGUAAAGAACCCAACUAGUAUCCAUGAGGACACAGGUUUGAUCCCUGGCCUCACUCAGUGGAUUCUUUUCAAUAAGGUAUCAAGGAGAGUAUACUAUGAUGAAGAAUGAAUGUACUUCAGAUUUAUUCAGACACUUAAUAUACAAUACACGUGUUCGAAUAUAUGUAUUCUUUACCUUCCUUCUUCUACUACCCAUCGCCUUUCUAGUUGUUCCUUACUUUGCUACAAAUGUAAAUGUAUCAUGAGAAAAAAAUGUUUACUGGCCAAAUAGGGUAGAAGACAUGAAAUUAAACAAGAUAAUUUAUAAAUCAAAUCAAAUAAUACAAUUUAAAAAUAUAUAACACAAGCCUCUUUAUAGUUAUUACCGACAGAAAUUCAACUGAACUUCCUAGUAACCACUGAAAAAGAAAAUUACUCAUUCAACACGAUCAGUUAUAAAAUUAGUAUAACUCCCCUGAAAAACAAAGUGUGAGAAGCACUUAUCCUAGAUCCCCAUAAAAGGACCCUGUAUAAUGUAGUAAACUAGAUUUUUUCAUAACUAAAAAUCUUUACAUUCAACAAUAUGUUUCAUAGGUUUCAUAGGAUUCAAUGUAGACUGAAAACACAAAGGUAAAGCAUAGUUCAGUGAAGUCAGUUCUGGAAGAGGCAAGAACAGUGUAUCCCCAGCACUCAGGUCUCAAAUUUAGAAUAUCUAAGGGCAGGACUGGAAAUUGGAGAGGCAGCAGCCAAGUGUGGCCAUAGGUCUGUUUCAUUUGUCUUGUCAUUUUUAUUUAGCUUGAAUGCCUAGGGAUCAGUGCUUCUCAGACUAAUUGUAGUGAAGCAGUAGUUUCAUUUUAAAAUUUCCUAUCCAUCAUGGAUCAAUUAUUUUGUAAGAUACGAUAAAAAAUAAAUUACUAGAAAAAAGAAAUAAACACUUAAAAACACAAGACCCAGGAGUUCCCGUUGUGGCACGGCAGAAAUGAAUCUGACUAGGAACCAUGAGGUUGAGGGUUUGAUUCCUGGCCUUGCUCGGGUGGGUUAAAGAUCCAGUAUUGCCGUGAAUUAUGGUGUAGGUCACAGAUGUGGCUCGGAUCUGGUGUUGCUGUAGCUGUGGGUAUAGGCCGGCAGCUGUAGCUCCAAUUAGACAUGUAACCUGGAAACCUCCAUAUGCUAUGUGUGCAGCCCUAAAAAAAAAAAAAAAAAAAAAAAAAAAAAAGACCAUAUAUUCUAAAUACUUCCUCUAGUUUCUGCAUUUAUCACGGUCCAGGAAGAAACACUUUGCAAACCAGCCUAGGCCUGCAAAACACUACAAGGAGUGGCAUCCUUUUCUUGAUGAGGCUAAUCACUUCCAUUACCCAUCUUCCCACCACGACCCCAUGUUUUAGCCUAGACCUACUCACUCAUUUACACUGUAGACAUGGCAACUGGGAAUAGCUAAAUUUUGUAUCGAUUACCUCUGAGCAAUAGUCAAUUCUCAAAAAAAUGUUAAUUCACAUAACCAAACUUUUAAAAGUUUAUAUUAAAUGGACAGGGGUCAAAGUUAUACUUCCUUACAAAUUACUAGGGUGCAAAUAUUCUAUAAUAUCAAUAUAAGGAUACACCAAGUGUUAAAUAAUUAGGGUGGAGUUGGUGGGGACAGAUAUUCUUUUAAUAAUCAAAUAUCUGCACUGGGUUAUAUUCUUAGGGGGCUGCCACUCUACUUCUGCAGUGGGGGUAAGCUGCCUCCAUAUAUGGUUUCUAGUCCUGACCCCAGCAUACAAUUGCUCCAGCAAGCCAUGUAACCUCUCUGAAUUACCAUUUUCUUAUCUAGUAAUCAUCUAAAAAGCCUUUUCCAGUAACUCUUCAUUUGAUUACAAAAAAGAUCAAAUGAAAUAAUGUAUAUCAAGACUGGAAUGAUGCAAAAUGUUAUCUGCACAAAUUAGGUUAUUUGUUUACACACACGUUUCCAAAUGUUCAAAUGGUGAGGAAUUAAAAGUGAAAUAAUCAUUAUUGUACUGUGUAUAACUUUUGAGGUAUCAUUGACAUACACUUUACUUUUACAUAUAUGUUACAAAACCCCAACAUAUUAUUACUAUUAUUAUUUUAGCCAAUUAGUUAUCUUUUAGCAGAAUUAAAAGUUAAAAAAAAAAUUUUAUAUUUACCUUUAUUUAUAGUUUUUGCUGCUCUCUUUUCAUCUUUCUUUCUGUAGUUUGAAUAUUAUUAGAGGUGUGUAUGUGUGUGUACGUGAGUAUACUUUAAUUACUUGCUUGUUCAGUUAUCUUGUUUGGAGUUCUCUUGACAUUCUGGAUAUAUGAUUUGAUGAAUUUCAUUAUUUUUAAAAACUCUCAGGAAAAAUCUAGCCCAUCGCCUGUUUUGGUAAGAGAAGUUUCUUCUAACUUUUUAAAUAUUUCUCCUGGUUUGGUCUCUCUCUCUUCUUUUGAAAUUUCAAUUGCAUUUGUAAUAGACCAUUUGAUAUUGUCCCAGAAUUCUUGGAUUCUCUGUUCUGAUUUUUGUGUUUGUUUUUCCUAUACUUUGUCUCUUUUUAUUUGGCUAAUAUCUAAUGACUUGUCUUCAUGCUCACAGAUCCUUCUCUCAAAGAUACUGAGUCUUUUAAUAAGCAUAUUGAAGGAAUUUGUGAUGUGAUAAUAUUUCCUUUUAUUUCUAUUAUCUUCAUUUAAAUCUUUCUUAUAGUUUCCAUUUUUCUGCUGAAAUUCUCCAUCUAUUCAUGUAUAUUGUUCCCCUGUUCCAUUAGAUCUUUUAACUCAUUAAUAAUAGUUAUAUUAAAGUCUCUGUCAGAUAACUCCAACUCUGGAUCAUCUCUAAGUCUGGUUUUCUCCAUUGCUUUGACUCUUGACAAUGGGUUGUUUUUUUCCUUGCAUAUCUGUAUAGCUGUCACUUUUAAAUGCUAGAUAUCAAGUGUUAAACAACUGAGAUGGGUGAAAAUUAUUUGUGCUUGGAAAUAGGGCAGACCUCUUCUACUCUAAGGCCAUUAGUUUGGGGCAUUGAGUAAACUUGGUUAGGAGAUGAGCUUUAAUCUCAUCAAAAAUUUCAAAUUCCUCUAGAAUGGCCUUGUAAUUAGGAUGAAGCCUAGGGGCUUGGAGUAGGUGGGCUUUUGUGCUUACCUACAGUAGUGCCAGUCCUCUACUCUGCAGCUACAUUCCUGAAGGAAGCCCCUUCUAGUUUCCUACCCUGCUUGCAAUAUUUCUCAUAAGAAAUAUGAUGGAGGUCCACAUAAAAGCACUAGUGCAUUUGAACUCCCCUUGUGUCAGGGAACACACAGAGGCUCUCAUUCUAGUCUACUCACAGCUUUUAGUAAAUUUGUUUAAAUUCGAGCUGAUUUAUUUUUAGCCUCUUGCAUUAUGGCCAGGCAUUCUUUUGUUCUCUGUCACAUAUGACAUCAUUGCCAUGACCAAUUUCCCCACAAAGGGAUCUCUCAAUGGGUGAGCAAUUCUGGAUAUUUAUCUGCCCUAUGAACUUAGAUUUCUGAUGAGUUUAAGAAAAGUCAUGGUUUUUCUUAUUGUCAGGGUGGGAUAUGCACCCUUUCUAGCUGUGUUUAGCUUAAGUAGAAAAAUAAUCCUUCAAUCAAUAAGUUUAAUUCUUGGGGGGAAUGUUAUCACCCUAAACUAAUAAUAAUUAAAGUACAUAAUUUAUUUUCCAAGUGUCUCCUUAAUUUUAUCAUGGAAAGUAUGAUUCUAAUUAGGUCUUGGGUGCUCAUUAUAUGCUACUUCCUGCAUUACUAUAUUAUAUUCUGAAAGUCCAAAAUUCUCCUAGUGGCCUGGAAGAGUGUAAUCACUUGCUAAUUAGCUAAUUGGAAAAUACACUCAUUUCAUUUGUUACAAACUAAAAUGAUUAUAUCUUUCCAAAAUACUAAGUAUGGGGAAAACACAACCUUUAUUAAAUGAGAAUUUAUUGUGCCAGAUUUCUGCAUAUUAUCUAAUUCCACAUUCAUGAUAAUCAUGCAAAAUUUUUACUUAAUGGGAAAAGCAGUCUAAUGAUACUAAGAAAUUUAACUUUGGUUUCUCAUCUAGUAAAUAAUCAGAUGGGAUAAGAACCCAGUAUUGUUUGAUUAUAGGUUUGUACUUUUCUUCUAUAUAAUGCAGUUUUUCCAUGCAGCCCUAUUUUAACAUGGGUAAAUAUUUGUCUUUAUCAGUCUACAACUUGCUGCUUAGUCCCCUCUUCUCUAUAUAUUAUUUUUUUCACCUAUUGUCCAAAAGUUUCAUCUUUUCCUUUGUUUGCACAAGGUUUCUACUUUCAUGCUCUAAACAAGCCAAAGUCAUUUCCAAGCUUCCAUGUUUCCCACAAAACCUUAUCUACCUUGUAUCUGCUUUACUCCAACCUUUUUAUUCUCCUAAAUAAUACAUUUAUCAGUUUUAAAAUAUUCAUCUGUUAAUGCUGCUAUUAAAGUAACAAGGCAAUGUGAGGCAAAGCAGUUACAAAAGAUCUGUUUUACUAUAAGGAAAACAAUAAAAAUUUGAUUAGUCAAAAUUCAGGAAUUUAGAAUCCUUAAAUUUCUGGAACAAAACCAGAAAAGCACAGCCCCUGAAUUAAAGUGAAGGUGCAGCCAGCCCAUGGACAACCAGCAAACACAGAACAAGAGCCACAGAGCCUAUCAUUUCAUCUGAUCCCUCAAGUUUACUGCAGAGAAGAAAGGCUGUCCUUUAGAGAAAGACUUUUUUGUUUAUGUUUUUGUUGUUUUUAGAUUGUGAGUAAGCAAUAGGAGACAUAGAAAUUGGGAAAUUGAAGAAAAGAAGUGCAGAAAAAGUGUACCAGAUUUAGGGAUUGGCAGCAUUGGCUGUAACAGCAAUAAAGAUCAGGGUGGGGUAGUGACAGAAACUGCAAAAGCAGGCAUGCGUGAGGAACAUCAGAGAAAAAAAAUAGUGUGACAAAGAAACGAAGAAAGAACAUCAGAGGAAAAAAAAAAUAGUGUGACAAAGAAACGAAGAAAGAACAUCUGUGCAUCAGGGCACAAUGUGAAAGGGGAGUAGGCUCAUCUUCAGUCUUUGAAAAAGGUAAAAAGUCAGAAGCUUUGAAAUGUCUAAACCAGGGUUAGAUGAGAAGCACAUCAUGGAUAAUCUAUAUCAGAGACCCCAACUUUUUU